CCUACGGGUGGCGGCAGUGGGGAAUAUUGGGCAAUGGGCGCAAGCCUGACCCAGCAACGCCGCGUGAAGGAAGAAGGCUUUCGGGUUGUAAACUUCUUUUUUGAGGGACGAAGAAACUGACGGUACCUCAGGAAUAAGCCACGGCUAACUACGUGCCAGCAGCCGCGGUAAUCCGUAGGUGGCAAUCGUUGUCCGGAUUUAUUGGGUGUAAAAGGCGUGUAGGCUGGAAAGCAAGUCCGAUGUGAAAACUCAGGGCUCAACCCUGAUCCUGCAUUUGACACUGUUUUGCUUGAGUGCUGGAGAGGCAAUCGGAAUUCCGUGUGUAGCGGUGAAAUGCGUAGAUAUACGGAGGAACACCAGUGGCGAAGGCGGAUUGCUGGACAGUAACUGACGCUGAGGCGCGAAAGCGUGGGGAGCAAACAGGAUUAGAUACCCGUGUAGAC
rnacentral:rRNA from 1 species